rnacentral:lncRNA from 1 species
CUUGUUUAUGAAAUGUUAAUUUGUAUAAACUUGUGUGUGUAAUACAAGAGAUUUCUUUUAGAAAUGCAAUACUAAUGCCUUCAUUUUUUUUGGCGCAAAGUGAAUAUAAACAACUUCCAUUACCUCACUAAAAAACUUCCAUUACCUCAAAACUCAUCCCAGUUUUCACUAUGUCCUCCACUCUCAGUGGGACUCUCAUCCUCCCAAAACUACUGGACAUCUCAAUAUCUGCUCUAACUGCAUCUCCACAAUCUACUAAAUUCUCCUUUAAAGACAAACUUCUAGCAACUGAACACAAAGAAUUUAUUUCCUUUUUUUUUUCUUUUUUUUUUUAAAAUUCAAUCCAUCCACCCAGGAUUUCAUCUCCUGUGGUGGGGAGAGGUUUGGCCUAGACCCCUACCUUGUAUAUUAAUAACUCAAAGAAAAAUUAGUACAACAAGGAGGGGGACAUAAAAACUAACCUCCAUAGAACCUAGUUAAUCUAAACUAACUAGGAACAAUGCUAGAGCAUAACCAACAUCAGAGAACUUUUUUUUUAGCAAAGCCAACUUCCUAUAGGAGUGUUGGCAGUGCAGAAACAAAAGGCAUGACUACUUGGUGAAUCAGAACAUGUCUCGAAGAAAAUAUGAAAGAUGUUCAAGGAGGAUCAAAGUACCACCCUGAGUGUUUGGCUGCUCUUAUCCUGAAGGAAGGGAGUCCCAAUUUGUCCAUUUUAAGUGCUUCUUUAGCUUCCCUGGGUAAGUCAUUCUCUUAGAGAUAGACUUUAUUUUGGCAUAGUGUUGUGGCAUAUUUUGCAAGUGAAUCAGCCACCUCAUUUCAUUCUCUGUAACAGUGAUGGACUUGAAUUUGUUUUUCCCUGAUUUUGUGUUGGAUUUUCUCUACUUCAUUGUACAAGUGCCAUGGGGGAUUGAGCUUGCCAUUGAUCAUAUUGACAAGUAGUUGUGAGUCAAGUUAAAGGCACAAGAUAUCUAUGUGAUGUGCAUAGCACCAAUUAAUUCCAAGCAAGGUUGCAUAGGUCUCACUAUAAUUGUUAGUUGAGAAUUGGAGAGGUAUAGCAAAUGCCAUGACCAUCUCUCCAUUUCUUCUCCUAAAAACUCCUCCUGCACCAGCUUUGCCCACCCUAGCUAUGUAGCUCCAGUCAGUGUGAAGAGAGAAUAUUGCAGUCUUGCAGAGAGUGUCAUUCCACUUUACAAGUUUGCUAAUAAGAUUAGGCUUGUAAUCGAUGGCAAUUUUACAUAUCAUGUCCCAGUUCCACUUGGAUUCCAUUCUACUGAACCUUUUUCCCAGAGAUACCUUUACUUGGAAGGUAACCUGGUGCCAAAUUCUUGUCAGUGAUGUAGCCUAUUUGUCAUAUUUUUUAGAGUAUCUAGCUUUUCACAACUCCCAACAUACAAUAAUAUGGGCAAUUUGUAAAAGCAUCCUAUGAGCCCCGUUGUUAGGCUUGAGCUUUCACCAUUUAUUAAGAGUUUUAUGGAUACUCACUAGUGUGAUAUCAAUACCCAAAGGACUAGCAAUUCUUCUCCAUGUAUUAGAAUCUAUGUAACUCUAAAUAAAAACAUGGUUAGCAGUCUCCUCCUUGGCUUCUCUACAGUAAACACAUCCAGUAGCUAUGUUGAGUCCAAAUCUAUAUAAAUGUUCCUCAAUGUAUUAGGAUCCUCUACAUCAAGAAUGAGACUUUGAAUGGUACUUCAUUACUCCAUAGCUUAGCAAGUUGUGGGUUCUUGUUCUUUUUUUGUCUAAAUGCUUUAAAGGCAGAGGAGCAUGAGAAGUGGGCAUUAGGAUUCAAGCACCAAAGAGCUGUAUCUUCCUUAUUUCUAAUGUCCACCUUUAAAACCUCUUCAGUGAUGUGAUCCGGGAGAGCUCUCCUGAGUGCAUUUGAAUUCUAGUUUUUGUCAAAAAUGAAAUCUUUGACUUUUGUGUUCCCAGGUUCCUAGGUUGGAUAUUGUGUUGGACUAGGGGUCCUGAUCUAAGCCAGUUAUCCCACCAGAAAAGAACAUGUCCCUUUCCUAGUUUUCACAUGAUAUUGAAAUCAAUCAUCUUCCUGGUGUCUAGUAAAUUCCUCCAAAUAUUGGAACCUUUGGAGUUUUUCUGUUUUGAUAGUAUGUUGGACCUAGGAUAAUAUUUUGUCAAGAGAAAUUUUAUCCAUAUGUUCUUUUCAGUUCUGAGUCUCCAUCAUCUCUUAGAAGAGAAUGAAGAGCAUAUGUCUUACAAUUUCUUGAAUCCAACCCCACUUUCCUCAUAUGGGUAGCACAUCUUAUCCUAGGAACUCCAGUGAUAAUUUUUCUUUCUUUCUUUCAUACCCCAGAAGAAAUUAGAAAAAUAAGAUUCUAUUUGGUUGAGGAUAGUUUUUGGAGGGACCAUGGCAGUUAGCAAAUGUAGAGUCUGAGAUUGUAGAAUGUGUUUGAUAUUUAGAUAUUAAUUUGCCCUGCCAAGCAUUUGCUUUAUUCAGGACUUUAGUCGCCAUAUUCGCAAAAUAUGCAAUUUUCUUCCUCCCUGUGUAUAUUGGACAACCCAAAUAUAUGAAGGGGAAUUGAGAAUGCUUGUAUCCAGUCCACCUCUCUAACCUUCUGAUAGUUCUUCUGUUUUGAAGUCCAUAGGUUCAGAAGUUAGUUUUCUGCUUGUUUAUCUCCCGUCCUUAUGCAUUUUGAUAGUCCUUAAGCACCCUCAUGACCAUCUUGAUUGAGUUUUUAUCACCAGUUAUAAAUAAAAUCAAGUCAUCAGCAUAGCAUAGAUGGUUGAUUUUAGGUCACUUUUUGCAUAUAGUGAAUCCUUUGUAGUUGGUCAUGUUGUUCAGUUGAUUGAGAGAUUUAGACAGUGCUUCAACAACUAUAAUAAAAAGAGUCGGAGAAAGUGGAUCUCCUUGUUUUACUCCUCUAGUUAACUUGAAGAAACCAUAUCUAGCCCCGUUUACAAUGACUGAAUAUCAAUUGUUAGAAAGAUGCAUGUAGAAACACUCAAUUACUCCUUCUGAGAAUCCAAGCUUCCUCAUAACUGUUGUCAAAAAUGUACAUGAGAGCCUGUCAUAAGCUUUGGACAUGUCAAGUUUAAUGACUGGGUUUCCUCCUUCAUUAUGCUCAUUCAUCCCAUGAAUAAUCUCUUGAGUUAGUAACACAUUUUCUGUAAUGAGCCUUCCUCUGACAAAGCCAACCUGAUUUUCAGAGAUUAUAGUUGGUAAAAUAGAGGCGAUUCUAAAAGCUAGGAUCUUGAAAAUAAUUUUAUUGGUUACAUUGCAUAAGCUGGUAGGCCUCAAUUGAGAGAAAUCUGAAGGCGUGCUAACUUUAGGUAUUAAAACUAGGCAUGAAUGUGUAAAAUAUUUACUCAGGCAUGCCCCAUUGAAGUAAGCUAGCACAAAGUUGCAAAUAUCAUUUUUAAUGAUAUUCCAUGUAACUUGAUAGAAGUGGCCAUUAUAACCAUCCAGACCUGCAAUUUAUGAAAAAAACUACUGCCUUGAUUUCUUCUUCAGUAGGAGUUUCUUGUAGCAUGGUAUUGUCUUCUUCUGUUACCAUUGGUUCAAUCCAUUUCAAUACUCUAUCCAUAUCUCAUUCCUCCUACCUUGUGAAUAUUUCUUGAAAAUGAUCCACUGUUGCGUUUGAGAUAGCAGAAUUACCUUGAAUCCACUACUCUGCACUAUUCUUUAUCCUGUGGAUUUGGAUUCUUCUCCUUCUGUGCUUGAUAAUGCUAUGAAAAUAUCUUGAAUUGGUAUCUCCAUAUUCAGUCUAGUUCAACUUGGCUUUUUGUUUGAGAAUUGAUUCCUCCAUGUUUAACCAUUUGAUAUAUUCUACUUGUGCCUUAUGUAAGAUCUCCCUAUUGGCAUCUGAGUCAUCAUCUUUAUAAGUUUACUCCAGAAUUAGGGUGUCUGCCUCUAAUUGUUUCACCUUUUUAAAUACAUUCCCAAUAGUUUCUCUAGACCAAAGACUCAAUUUUUUUGGAGAGAGUCUUCAGUUUCUGUUGCAGGAUCCAUUGAGAGUUGCCAUAUACCUCUAUGUUCCAAGUGUCCUCAACCAGGUUUAAGAAGUCUGGUUGAGUUGUCCAAAAGUUUAAAAAUUUAAAGUAUUUGAUAAAAUCAAUAUGAGUGUUAUUUCAUUCCAUGAAAAUGAGGCUAUGAUCUGAUCUUGUUCUGGCAAGAUGAUCUAUUCUGGUUUAUUGGUAUAGGUCUGAACAAUUCUCAUUUAUAAGGACUUUGUCCAGCCUUUUGCUAAUUCUUCUUCUCCCUCUCCUACGUAAAUUCAUUUCCAGAGAAUCCAGCAUCAACUAAUUCACAAUCUUCAAUACAAUUUAUAAAGUCUAGACUCCUCGUCAAACUAUGUUGUAUUCCUACUCUCUUUUCUUCCGGAGCUAGGAUUGAGUUGAUAUCUCCAAACACAGCCCAAGGUCCAUCAAUUACAUCAUGUAGGUCUCUGAGAUUGCUCCAAAGCCUUCUUCUUUUCAUAGCCUUUGAUUUGGCAUAUACUGCAGUGAGCCAGAAGUUUUGGUUGUCCCCAUCCAUCUUGCAUUUGAAGGUGAUUUGUUGUCUCUUAUUAGAGAUGAUAGUAAAGUCAAAAUUAGCUCCCCAGAAGAACCAUAUUUUGCUAUUUUUGUUGGUUGCUGCAUAGUCAAAACCCAAGGCUAUUUUAUAUCUUUCAAGCUUGUCUGAACUUAGAAAAGGUUCUUGAAGAGCCAAAAAGUCUAUCUUAUAUAUGUUGACUAAUUUCAUUAGUCUUAGAGUUGCUCCCUUGGAUUUCAUUCCCCUUAUGUUCCAUAUAAUGACUUUAAUCAUUAAAAGAUAGAAGGGGUUAUUUCUGUCUGCUUUCGGCAGGUCUAUGACCUCCCUUAGCCUUCUUUUUGUUUUGGUGACCUCUAGGUGAUAGUCCCUGUUUGUUGAUUAUAUCUUUGAUUUCUUUGAGUACUAGAUCUUAAUCCUUUUCAGAGUCAUUGUCCAUGACUGUGUUGAAACUGUUUGGAACUUUCUCUUUAGAGGAAUCCACAGUUUCUUCUUCAUCUUCUUGUUCUGUAGUAUCAUCAUUGCCAUGAAAAUGCUCUAAACUUGAGCCACGUCUCUCGUCAUUAUGCACUAUCGCAAUGGAACCUAGAUCUACCAUAAGAUUGAUACCUUUAUUUUUUACGUUUGCGGUAUCCAUGGUGAUUGGAGAUUGAAUAUCUUCAUUGUUAUGCCCAACUUUACUAAGUUGGUCUUCUGGUAUAGUACUAGCAGUAGCAUUUUGUUUCUUCUUUUACCGAGUGAUUGCCUUAUCUUCUUCCUGAUGCUGUUUCGUGUUGCCUUGUAGCUGAGUCUUUGUUUUGGUUUCUUUCAGGUGUUUGCCCAUACUGAUCUUCAUCUCAUUUCCUAGGACUUCUGUCACAAUUUUUUCAAAAUGGCUUGGCUUUUGCUUGAUCCAUAGCAUGUUCUUCACCCUUAGUAGGCCAUUAGCAUUUCCUUUUUUCGUCUUUUUCCUACCUUUCUUGCUUUUCUUUGUUUCCAGAUUCUUCUCUGUAUUUGUAGGUUCCUUUUCUUCCUGACUAUGCUUUGAUACUCCCUCAUUUUUUCCCCAGUUUUUUUAGUUACAUUAGUAGUGUUGUCUACAAUAUCUACCUUAAGGUGUUGUUUUACUGUAUCUAAAUCCUUGUCCACAUUUGUCUGCACCUUAUUUGCUUAGCUUUCUUGUUUCUCCUGUUUAUAACCUUCGUGAAUCCCUCAUUAUUUUGCUUUGCAGUAGAGUUUGGAAUUUUGCUAGAGCUAGCUUUGUCGUCCCUUGUUAUAAUUCCCUGGUUAUUCCCUGUUACAUCUUUUUUCCCCAGUGUAUCUCUACCUCCAAUUUCUGUUUGCAGUAAAACUGUAUCUUUACCAUUUUGAUCUGCUUCAAUAUUUUUCGUAGCUCUCUUUUUCUCGAGAACUCUACAGUUCAUCAUGUUGUGCCCAAGUUUUCUACAAUGUUUGCAAAAUUUCGGAAUGCUCUCAUAUUUAAUUUUUUG